rnacentral:rRNA from 1 species
CCUACGGGAGGCAGCAGUGGGGAAUAUUGGGCAAUGGACGAAAGUCUGACCCAGCGACGCCGCGUGAGGGAUGAAGGCCUUCGGGUUGUAAACCUCUUUCAGUAGGGAAGAAGCGAAAGUGACGGUACCUAAAGAAGAAGCACCGGCUAACUAUGUGCCAGCAGCCGCGGUAAUACAUAGGGUGCAAGCGUUGUCCGGAAUUAUUGGGCGUAAAGAGCUCGUAGGUGGUUUGUUGCGUCGGGUGUGAAAUUCAGGGGCUCAACCCCUGACCUGCACUCGAUACGGGCAAGCUAGAGUUUGGUAGGGGAGACCGGAAUUCCUGGUGUAGCGGUGGAAUGCGCAGAUAUCAGGAGGAACACCAAUGGCGAAGGCAGGUCUCUGGGCCAAUACUGACACUGAGGAGCGAAAGCGCGGGGAGCGAACAGGAUUAGAUACCCUGGUAGUCCGCGCCGUAAACGAUGGGCGCUAGUUGUGGGGACCUUCCACGGUUUCUGCGACGCAGCUAACGCAUUAAGCGCCCCGCCUGGGGAGUACGAUCGCAAGAUUAAAACUUAAAGGAAUUGACGGCUGAGACUACCAAGGCACGACAGGGGAUAGG